AUAAACUAAUUCUGAUGAUACAGGCCUGCUGGCGAACAAGAAAGGGAGACGGGCAACGGACGGUGCAUGGUGGUCUCCAGAUGUAGCCGGAACUCUUAACUGCCGAAAAAGAAGUCCGAAGCCACUGUUGCAACACACUGAAGCUCCAUUAAAGCAGAACCACGGAGAGCUGAAAGUUCAGUUGGUGAAUGAAAGUGCACACGUCAGAGCUAAACAACAACAAAAAGGCAC
rnacentral:lncRNA from 1 species